rnacentral:lncRNA from 1 species
GAUAGUAGAAAAUAAGUGGCAACUUUUCUGCUUGUUGUUAUUGUUAUUUUCUCCUCGCAUCUCCUGAGCCUCAGAGCCAAUGUCAUGAAAGAGUUGUCUCCAUAAGCCUUCUCUACUUUCUUGCCACAAGGCUACCAGCAACCUCUAGUUUAUAUGUCCAAUGUUACUUUACUCUGUCAUCAAUUUACUUAUCUUUCAAAUGAUUUUGCUGUAGCUGACAGACCACUCCUUGAAACAUCUGGUUGACUUCCAUGAUAGCAUGCACUUCUGUUUUUUCUCUUUGCUGUUCUUUCUUUCUUUCUUCUUUUUCUUCCCUUUUUUUUAACUGUCUUUGGCUAACAUCCCACCUCUACCCAGUCUCUCGGUUCCACAGAGCUUGGUGUUAAACCAUAUACGUCUCAUUAAAUCACAUUUAAUCUCCAAAUAAAGACAAUAACAAAGUCAUACUUCCUCUUACUGCUACAAGUAUCCUGCAUACAACUGAAAACACAUAACCUUUCUCCAAAA